CAAGAUUGAUGGCUAGAUUUUCGA
rnacentral:siRNA from 1 species